UAAAAUUUCUCAAUAAAGUUUCACUAGAAAUCUCACCAUUAAAGUUUCCCCACCAAAAUUUCCCCCCGUUACUAUUCCCCCAACUUUGAAAGGGGCAAGGAGUGUACCCCUAUAUCAAUUUUGAAUAGCCAUACCAUAUUCCUCCUCCUCCGCUUAAUCUCGAUCCAUCGGCUCAUGCUGAUGUUACCACUCCUCCCACCAUCAUCUUUUCGCUGAAAAUGAUCAACUCAUCACUACACAAAUAUUUGCUCUUUUGAUUGCUAUGAACAGGUCAAAGAGAAAAAAGAUUAUAUGAUGAUGGAGCACAGGAGAGCUACAAAAUUCAGUUUUGGGUAGUAGUUGAUGAUUGAGUGUAAUCCACCACCAGGUUCAAACUUUUAUCGUCGUCCGUGGUAAAGGUCCCGAUAGACAGGUCGAGAGCCCUCUAAGUAGGCUAUCAGCUCAGCGGAAGAUGUUGGUACGCUCCAUUCGCUUCGGAGUUGCUUGUUUGGUUAGCAUGGUUUAGACGUGUUUUAUUUGGUAUGGCGGGACUCUGUCCCGACCUUUAUAAUAAUAAUGUAUUCUUAGAGGCUUGUAGACAGAUGUCAUGUACGUAAAAGAUUGUAUGGCCUUGUCGGCCUAUAUUCAGUAUACCAGUGGUAAUUUUGGUCUUGUAGGCCCGUAUGUCUUAUGCAUAAGUUGGUUUCACAUGUUGUAUUCAAC